GGUUCCCUAGCACGAGGUGGUUUCUGCAGCGUCCAUCUCGUCAUCGAUACAGAAAAUCCAUCCGAUGAAAAGUUUGUUGCAAAGAAAACACUGGAUUCUCCAUUCAUUAAAAAAAAGUUGUUGGAAAGCUUUCAAGCUGAAGCGUCCAUACUAAUAAAGCUUACUCAUGAAAGGAUAGUUCAAUUCCAUGGGUAUACGAACAAAGAAAAUGAAAUGCUUUUAUUUCUAGAGUACAUGAAGAAGGGAACCUUGUCUACGUUUAUUAAAAAUCGGCAAAGACUUGAUGAAGCUCACACUAGAAAAAUAGCUAAACAAAUUCUUGAAGGUGUCAAAUAU